UACAGAGGGUGCGAGCGUUAAUCGGAAUUACUGGGCGUAAAGCGUGCGUAGACGGUUACAUAAGUCGGGUGUGAAAGCCCCGGGCUCAACCUGGGAAUUGCAUUCGAGACUGCGUAGCUAGGGUGCGGAAGAGGGAAGCGGAAUUUCCGGUGUAGCGGUGAAAUGCGUAGAUAUCGGAAGGAACACCAGUGGCGAAAGCGGCUUCCUGGUCCAGCACCGACGUUCAGGCACGAAAGCGUGGG
rnacentral:rRNA from 1 species